rnacentral:rRNA from 1 species
UGGGGAAUAUUGGACAAUGGGCGCAAGCCUGAUCCAGCCAUGCCGCGUGGAUGAUGAAGGCCUUAGGGUUGUAAAGUCCUUUCGGCGGGGAAGAUAAUGACGGUACCCGCAGAAGAAGCCCCGGCUAACUUCGUGCCAGCAGCCGCGGUAAUACGAAGGGGGCUAGCGUUGCUCGGAAUCACUGGGCGUAAAGCGCACGUAGGCGGACUCUUAAGUCGGUGGUGAAAUCCUGGAGCUCAACUCCAGAACUGCCUUCGAUACUGGGAGUCUCGAGUCCGGGAGAGGUGAGUGGAACUGCGAGUGUAGAGGUGAAAUUCGUAGAUAUUCGCAAGAACACCAGUGGCGAAGGCGGCUCACUGGCCCGGUACUGACGCUGAGGUGCGAAAGCGUGGGGAGCAAACAG